UACGUAGGGUGCAAGCGUUGUCCGGAUUUAUUGGGCGUAAAGAGCGUGUAGGCGGCCAUACAGGUCAGCUGUGAAAACUCGAGGCUCAACCUCGAGACGUCGGUUGAAACCGUAUGGCUAGAGUCCGGAAGAGGAGAGUGGAAUUCCCGGUGUAGCGGUGAAAUGCGCAGAUAUCGGGAAGAACACCCGUGGCGAAGGCGGCUCUCUGGGACGGUACUGACGCUGAGACGCGAAAGCGUGGGGGAGCGAACAGGA
rnacentral:rRNA from 1 species